GAAACUAACAAGGAUUCCCCCAGUAACGGCGAGUGAAGUGGGAAUAGCCCAGCACCGAAUCCCUCAGCCUUGCGCUGCCGGGAACUGUGGUGUUUGGGACGACCGCUGUCGUGUUGUUCGGGUGCCCAAGUCCUCCCGAUCGGGGCCUCUCCCACAGUGGGUGUCAGGCCUUUACCGGCACUCGUCGACACGGCUAUGGUCGUCCUCGGAGUCGGGUUGUUUGGGAAUGCAGCCCAAAGCUGGUGGUAAACUCCAUCUAAGGCUAAAUACUGACACGAGUCCGAUAG
rnacentral:rRNA from 1 species